rnacentral:rRNA from 1 species
UACGAAGGGGGCGAGCGUUGUUCGGAAUUACUGGGCGUAAAGGGCGCGCAGGCGGCUCUGAAAGUCAGAUGUGAAAGCCCCGGGCUUAACCUGGGAACUGCAUUUGAUACUCUAGAGCUUGAGUACGGGAGAGGAGAGUGGAAUUCCCAGUGUAGAGGUGAAAUUCGUAGAUAUUGGGAAGAACACCGGUGGCGAAGGCGGCUCACUGGCUCGUAUCUGACGCUCAGGCGCGACAGCGUGGGGAUCAAACAGG